UUUUUUUUUUACUUACAGUAGUUCCAGUUUAAUAUCAAUAACAAACUUUCUGAUAAUGCUUUUCAUACUAUUGUCCAAGUAGGCUGUAACAUAUUGCAAUACUUUAAAAGGUAUUCAUGGGAUGUGGGUGUCACUGGCUAGGCCAGCCUUUAUUGCUCAUCCCUAAUUGCCCUUGAGAAGGUGGUGGUGGAGUGCUUUCUUGAAAUGCUGGUUCUUGAAGGGACAUCUUUUAAAACAGCAUUGUGGGAGGCUGGAAAGGAAGUUGCAGGUGGUGGUGUUCCCAUUCGUCUGCUGCUCUCUGGUCGUGGAGCUUGCAAAACAGUUCUGUUGAAAGCUUUGGUGAAUUACAAUUGGAGUAUUAAUUCAUGGAUUUUUUUCCUAUGUUUUUGAGGCAGUUUUCUCCAUAGCAUUAUGCUCGCCUUACACUGUUGCAGCAUCAUUUCCAAAGUGACUACUGGCCAAUAUGUAAACAUCAAGUUUUAUAUCUUUGUCAAACUGCAAAUCAGGAUAAAAGAAAAAAAAAUCACACUAGGAGCAUUUAUUUCAAGGUAUGAAUUUAUUAUCUUUUUACAUUUUUCCUUUAUCAGUUGCUCCAACAUCACAACUGACCCCUGCUGGUUUCUGAUCAAAACGGCUAGAGUGUUGUAGGAUCUGAAGGUGAUGAGGCUGAGCACUGGAUAUUAGCUAUUCAAGUGGGUUAGGUCUACAAUCUUCUUCAAUAU